UCGAAAGGCUUAUAAUACCGUGCUCCUUAUGAUGGUUGGAUUGAACUCUGUCUUCAGAUGCUCGCUAAUAGAAGUUCCAAGGAAAGCUGUUUCCUUUUGCACCAGUGACUUUCCCUGCUCAGAUAGAAGAAAGCACACUAUUCUUCUUCCGAGACAUAACCCUUGGUAAUGUACUUCUGGAAUGGGGGGAAAAGGGUUCUGAACAAUGGAAUAUGCUCCCUGAACAAGCCGGUUGUGGCAAUGCAACCAGGGUAUAGAGAAGCAAAUGUAAUUCCGGUCUCCUCGUGGUAACGUUUGUGGAACUCUUGCAUGGUGAGCAUGUUGCAGAUUUUGCUAUCCUUGUAGGCCUUGGCACCAUCAAAGUUUCCUCCGUCAAUCAUUGCUGAACUGUUCAACCCGUUCAGCCCUCCUGCAAGUCCACGAAGAUCUCCUAGGUUGGCCUUUGGAGGAUUCUAAUGGGAAAGGACAUACCCGUUAUGGAGCCGACGAUGAUGAGGCGCUUAGAUGGGUAAUCAGACUUAUUUAGGUCGUCCAUUAGCAACCGGGAUAGUAAGAAAUGUCCUAGGUGGUUAGUUCCGACACUGAGCUCG